rnacentral:rRNA from 1 species
AUUGAACGCUGGCGGAAUGCUUUACACAUGCAAGUCGAACGGCAGCACGGGGGCAACCCUGGUGGCGAGUGGCGAACGGGUGAGUAAUACAUCGGAACGUGCCCAGUCGUGGGGGAUAACUGCGCGAAAGCGUAGCUAAUACCGCAUACGAUCUACGGAUGAAAGCGGGGGAUCGCAAGACCUCGCGCGAUUGGAGCGGCCGAUGGCAGAUUAGGUAGUUGGNGGGGUAAAGGCGUCACCAAGCCAACGAUCUGUAGCUGGUCUGAGAGGACGACCAGCCACACUGGGACUGAGACACGGCCCAGACUCCUACGGAGGCAGCAGUGGGGAAUUGUUCGCAAUGGCGCAAGCCUGACGACGCAACGCCGCGUGGAGGAUGAAGACCUC